UGUUGUCUACAGUCCCAGAUCCAAAAUAGGUAUCUA
rnacentral:sRNA from 1 species